rnacentral:lncRNA from 1 species
GCUCCUUUAUUUCCCUCAUUUUUAACCUCAAACAAUAAUUAUUUGCAGAUAAGGAACACGUAUUCACUAACGAUUGUAUAGCCGCACUCCAGAAACAAUAUAUUGAUUGGAGAGCUCGUCUUUGAGAUUCGCAUCUUUGUAGUGAAUCAUGAACGAUUAAUUAUUUUGAACGAUCUUUUCAGUGGUAUAGACUGUCUACUGAUCAUUAGGACUGUUAUAGUCAUGUUGAUAUUCUGUGUGUGUCUGUCCUUCAGUGGUAUAGACUGUCUACUGAUCAUUAGGUCUGUUAUAGUCAUGUUGAUAUUCUGUGUGUCUGUCCUUCGGUGGUAUAGAC